rnacentral:rRNA from 1 species
UUAAAACAAGCUUUUAAGAGCAGAUGGCGGAUGCCUUGCCAAAGAGAGGCGAUGAAGGACGUACUAGACUGCGAUAAGCUAUGCGGAGCUGUCAAGGAGCUUUGAUGCGUAGAUGUCCGAAUGGGGCAACCCAACUAAUAGAGAUAUUAGUUACUCUAAUUAUAGAGAGCGAACCUAGUGAAGUGAAACAUCUCAGUAACUAGAGGAAAAGAAAUCAACGAGAUUCCCUAAGUAGUGGCGAGCGAACGGGGAAAAGGGCAAACCGAGUGCUUGCAUUCGGGGUUGAGGACUGCAACAUCCAAGAGAACGCUUUAGCAGAGUUACCUGGAAAGGUAAGCCAUAGAAAGUGAUAGCCUUGUAUGCGACAAGGCGUUCUUAGGUAGCAGUAUCCAGAGUAGGCCAGGACACGAGAAAUCCAGGUUGAAGCCGGGGAGACCACUCUCCAACCCUAAAUACUACUCUUUGAGCGAUAGCGAACAAGUACCGUGAGGGAAAGGUGAAAAGAACCGCAGUGAGCGGAGUGAAAUAGAACCUGAAACCAUCUGCUUACAAUCAUUCAGAGCCCUAUGAUUUAUCAGGGUGAUGGACUGCCUUUUGCAUAAUGAUCCUGCGAGUUGUGGUAUCUGGCAAGGUUAAGCGAAUGCGAAGCCGUAGCGAAAGCGAGUCUUAAUAGGG